AUAUAUACAGGGUGACUGGUGAAUUACUAUCAAUAUUUGAGGACGUGUUAAUUGACGAUCAUAUAUGACGAAAAAAAAUUACAUAUAAAAUAAGUAUUCAUAAACUUCUAAGUAAAGUUAACCAACAGUUAUCUCGUUAAUUACGCGUCGUCUGGACGCCCUAGCUGCGCAGUCGUCACAAAGCAGGUGUGUAGGUAUAGAUACAUAAGUUAUCGCGCGGUCGUUUACCUACGUCCAAACACCGCCAAGUGUUAACAGGGUAGCAGGCUACUUUUGAUAAACCACAUAAACUAACCUAACCUCCUUCU